rnacentral:lncRNA from 1 species
UUAAAAUUUGAGAAAAAAUAAGGACAUAAAUUUACUGAUAGACUUAUCAAUAAAUAUGAAACUAAAUCGAUUGGAGAUUAAAUUUUAGUUUGAUUGAUUCUUAUGACACCCUCAUCAUCACGUACCGUUGGGUACAAUUGUGGUUAAAAAGCAAUUUUACGACAGCAUCACAAUGUGUGUAUAUGUUUGUGGUUUUGCUUUGUUUGGCUGUGUCAUAAUAUAAGUUGUGGUUACAGUGCACCCAGACAUUAAUAAUCCCACUCAAGACGUCGUCUGCACGUACUCCAAUGUGUAGUUAUAUAUAGGAAUGAGUUAAGGAUUAAUUAUUAUCUUCUGAGUUUUCACCCAUAAAGCCACAAAGUAAUAACAAGCUUGGUUAACUUGAAUUGAUCAGAUUAACACACCUAUAUCGAACACGGAUAUAUUAUAUAUUGUU